CCUACGGGUGGCAGCAGUGAGGGAUAUUGGUCAAUGGGGGAAACCCUGAACCAGCAACGCCGCGUGAAUGAAGACGGUUUUCGGAUUGUAAACCUCUGUCCUCUGUGACGAUAAUGACGGUAGCAGAGGAGGAAGCUCCCGCUACCUACGUGACAGCAGCCGCGGUAGUACUUAGGGAGUGAGCGUUGUCCGCAUUUACUGGGUGGAAAGGGGGCGUAGGCGGCCCUGCAGGUAAGAAGUGAAAUCCAUGGGCUUAACCAGUGACCUGCAUUUGAAACUGGAGUACUUGAGUGGAGUAGAGGUAGGCGGAAUUCCGGGUGUAGCGGUGAAAUGCGUAGAGAUCGGGAGGAACACCAGUGGCGAAGGCGGCCUACUGGGCUUUAACUGACGCUGAAGCACGAAAGCGUGGGUAGCAAACAGGAUUAGAUACCCUAGUAGUC
rnacentral:rRNA from 1 species